rnacentral:rRNA from 1 species
AGAGUUUGAUCAUGGCUCAGAAUAAACGCUGGCGGCGUGCCUAACACAUGCAAGUCGAGCGAGAAAGGUCUUCGGACUGAGUACAGCGGCGAACGGGUGAGUAACGCGUGGAAAUCUACCUUUUAGUGAAGAAUACCCUCGAGAAAUCGAGGUUAAUACUGCAUACGUCCUACGGGAGAAAGAUGGCCUCUUUGCUGUCGCUGAAAGAUGAGUCCGCGUACUAUUAGCUAGUUGGUGGGGUAAAGGCCUACCAAGGCGAUGAUGGUUAGCCGGCCUGAGAGGGUGUACGGCCACACUGGAACUUAGACACGGUCCAGACUCCUACGGGAGGCAGCAGUGGGGAAUAUUGGACAAUGGGCGAAAGCCUGAUCCAGCCAUGCCGCGUGUGUGAAGAAGGUCUUCGGAUUGUAAAGCACUUUAAGUUGGGAGGAAGGGCAGUUACCUAAUACGUAUCUGUUUGACGUACCGACAGAAU